rnacentral:rRNA from 1 species
AUUGAACGCUGGCGGCAGGCCUAACACAUGCAAGUCGAACGGUAACAGGAAGCAGCUUGCUGCUUUGCUGACGAGUGGCGGACGGGUGAGUAAUGUCUGGGAAACUGCCCGAUGGAGGGGGAUAACUACUGGAAACGGUAGCUAAUACCGCAUAACGUCGCAAGACCAAAGAGGGGGACCUUAGGGCCUCUUGCCAUCGGAUGUGCCCAGAUGGGAUUAGCUAGUAGGUGGGGUAACGGCUCACCUAGGCGACGAUCCCUAGCUGGUCUGAGAGGAUGACCAGCCACACUGGAUCUGAGACACGGUCCAGACUCCUACGGGGGGCAGCAGUGGGGAAUAUUGCACAAUGGGCGCAAGCCUGAUGCAGCCAUGCCGCGUGUAUGAAGAAGGCCUUCGGGUUGUAAAGUACUUUCAGCGGGGAGGAAGGGAGUAAAGUUAAUACCUUUGCUCAUUGACGUUACCCGCAGAAGAAGCACCGGCUAACUCCGUG